AGAGUUUGAUCCUGGCUCAGGAUGAACGCUGGCGGCGUGCUUAACACAUGCAAGUCGAACGAUGAUCCGGUGCUUGCACCGGGGAUUAGUGGCGAACGGGUGAGUAACACGUGAGUAACCUGCCCUUAACUCUGGGAUAAGCCUGGGAAACUGGGUCUAAUACCGGAUAUGACUCCUCAUCGCAUGGUGGGGGGUGGAAAGCUUUUUGUGGUUUUGGAUGGACUCGCGGCCUAUCAGCUUGUUGGUGAGGUAAUGGCUUACCAAGGCGACGACGGGUAGCCGGCCUGAGAGGGUGACCGGCCACACUGGGACUGAGACACGGCCCAGACUCCUACGGGAGGCAGCAGUGGGGAAUAUUGCACAAUGGGCGCAAGCCUGAUGCAGCGACGCCGCGUGAGGGAUGACGGCCUUCGGGUUGUAAACCUCUUUCAGUAGGGAAGAAGCGAAAGUGACGGUACCUGCAGAAGAAGCGCCGGCUAACUACGUGCCAGCAGCCGCGGUAAUACGUAGGGCGCAAGCGUUAUCCGGAAUUAUUGGGCGUAAAGAGCUCGUAGGCGGUUUGUCGCGUCUGCCGUGAAAGUCCGGGGCUCAACUCCGGAUCUGCGGUGGGUACGGGCAGACUAGAGUGAUGUAGGGGAGACUGGAAUUCCUGGUGUAGCGGUGAAAUGCGCAGAUAUCAGGAGGAACACCGAUGGCGAAGGCAGGUCUCUGGGCAUUAACUGACGCUGAGGAGCGAAAGCAUGGGGAGCGAACAGGAUUAGAUACCCUGGUAGUCCAUGCCGUAAACGUUGGGCACUAGGUGUGGGGGACAUUCCACGUUUUCCGUACCGUAGCUAACGCAUUAAGGCC
rnacentral:rRNA from 1 species